CCAACAAAGACGCGGAGAGCAACAGCAAAGUCCUGAAGACGCCUGUAUGUAAAAUAGAAGACCGCGCUCCAGGUCCCGGUCUCACAAUGGCACCGGUGGGGCUCUUCAUAUACUUUCAAUCAGCUCACACUCCAAUGCAUAAGAGACGGAAAAAAUUGCUGCCGCCCCCCAUGCCGUGCAUUAAAG